AGGUCUCUGGGCCAAUACUGACACUGAGGAGCGAAAGUCUGGGGAGCGAACAGGAUUAGAUACCCUGGUAGUCCAGACCGUAAACGGUGGGCACUAGUUGUGGGGACCUUCCACGGUUUCUGCGACGCAGCUAACGCAUUAAGUGCCCCGCCUGGGGAGUACGAUCGCAAGAUUAAAACUCAAAGGAAUUGACGGGGCCCCGCACAAGCAGCGGAGCAUGCGGCUUAAUUCGACGCAACGCGAAGAACCUUACCAAGGCUUGACAUAUAGGGAAAAGUGGCAGAGAUGUCAUGUCCGCAAGGGCCCUAUACAGGUGGUGCAUGGUUGUCGUCAGCUCGUGUCGUGAGAUGUUGGGUUAAGUCCCGCAACGAGCGCAACCCUCGUUCUGUGUUGCCAGCAUUUAGUUGGGGACUCACAGGAGACUGCCGGGGUUAACUCGGAGGAAGGUGGGGAUGACGUCAAAUCAUCAUGCCCCUUAUGUCUUGGGCUGCACGCAUGCUACAAUGGCCGGUACAGAGGGCUGCAAUACCGUAAGGUGGAGCGAAUCCCAAAAAGCCGGUCUCAGUUCGGAUUGAGGUCUGCAACUCGACCUCAUGAAGUUGGAGUUGCUAGUAAUCGUAGAUCAGCAACGCUACGGUGAAUACGUUCCCGGGGCUUGUACACACCGCCCGUCACGUCACGAAAGUCGGUAACACCCAAAGUCAGUGGCCCAACC
rnacentral:rRNA from 1 species